rnacentral:tRNA from 6 species
AAAAAAUUAGUUUUAUAUAAAACCUUAGUAUGUCAAACUGAAAAAAUUAGUUAAAUCUAAUAUUUUUUA